AGUGUAUUCUUGUGUAUUAGUAUCCGUGACUCUGCAAUGCAGUGUGAGCAGUGGGGUGAUGAUCAAAACCCAUGGAUUGUGUCAUUUUGGGUGAAGAACAGUACACCUGUGACCCGGCUGUGCUCAGUCACUGGAGGAAAAAAAUAGACUUGCAGAUGGUGUUUCCUUCUUUGACUCCCGUAUUUUAGGAUGCAAUGAAAUGACAGUUGGAGAUGUGUAUUUCUAAAGGCAGCCAUGGGUAUGGAGUAAUGAUAACAAAAAGAUAGCCUCCAGAUACUCAUCACAUGCCAACAGGAUUACGUCUGGAAAGUGUCUCCCUCUCUGCUUCUCCCUCUCUGCAAGACCUCCUGGCUCAUACAGUUCCGAUGCAGUGGAGCAUGGCGUCGUGAGAUGCUUAUUCUCGAAUUUAAAUGGAGUGAAACGAUAGCGAUCCUCUGCGAAAAUAAGAAUACCGUCCCAGUCAGGCUUGGACCACCUGCGAUGUCACCAGAAGGUGAAUUAAGAGGAUUUGGCAAUUCCACAGUCUGCUUCAGGACAUAUCUUCUCAGAUGCAGCUGUUUUGACUAGCUGAGUACUGCAUGGUUCUCUGCACAAGCACAUAUGCAUAGACAUACGUAUAGACACAGACGCAUGUACAACUUCCUUGCAUGCUGAAGCAAACUCCUCCCACAGUCUAUUCCUGGCGCACAUCUAAAUGGCUGUUUUAUACACAUUAACCCUGUGAAACGCUGUAGGACUUUGCUAUUCUCCUCCCAGAUAAUAAACUAUCCGUUUGCAAGCCUGUCACACAGUUCAUAGAUCAAAGAGUCAAGGUGUCACCAGCCUUCUUUAGUAUAGAUACCACUGGUUCUUUACUGCCUAGUUGUGCUUGCAUAGCCAUCAGAUAUUUUUUUGUCUUAAAGUUACUUACCCCAUUCAAGUACUCAAUUUUCUUUUUUGCGGCAUCUGUGCCACAGACUUGCUGGCUGAAAAGAAUAUCCAACCAAAAAAUGCAGCAGCACUCUCCCCAUUAUUUAGCUUACUUUCCUUCCAUCCUGCCUAUCUGCUUUUGAACAUAGUCUUCCCAUUAAUAAGAAUUCAAAGAAAAUGAAAAUAUAAUUAUUAAUUUCAGUUGAAAAUGUAACAAGGAAAUCUUUAUUAAAGAGUUAAAAAGAUUAUUUCAUGUCACUAUAUAUUCAAUGUCUUUAUGAGAUGAUUUUAAUUCUGGGUCUGUAUGAAAAAAGAUAAAGGAGAAGGUGGGGAGAAAGGGAUCCUGAUAGGGUGUAGUGUUUAUGUAUCUCUUUUGUAGUGCAAGAAAUUUGCUUAGUUUUCUCUCUGUGCUUGUACUUAGACUAUCACAGAAGAGAAGCAUGAACAAUAAGUUCUUAUGCAACUCUUUCUUCCAAGACUGUGCUUGUGCCAGUAAUUUACAAGUAAUGGUCUACAGCUGUGAUCUCCAGCUCUUGAGCUGUUUUGGUAUUUCAGUAAUUACAACAGUUUCAUUAACAUUUAAAGGGAAUAGUCAGUUCAAUAUCAAUAAGAGACUAUUCUGUACAGCAUGGAUCCAUUUCACAUUUGCAUUUGACAUUUGAUAAUCUCUACACAUCAGUUCUGAGCCACAGAAAUGAGAUGUCACACAAGGGAAAAAUUAACCCAGAUAUAACUUUUUAGUAAAUUUAUGGAGCUGUAGAAUAGAAGUUGAGGACUGGCAUGGUUGUGAAGAACACCUCUUUCCCAGUCUUAUGUUCAUUUGAAACAUAAGACAUAACUUUAAGCUUUUGUUGUGUACAUGACAAAUUUGUGGAUAUUGAAAAGAAAUAAAAAUGGGAAACUAGCUAAAUAGUGAAAUAACCAACAUAGAUGUGAACAUAUUUUCUAUAUGUAAAUAAUAAACAUGGUCAAGUUUCUGAGAUGUCAGAUGUACAUUUUACAGCAGUCUUAAUUUUUGGCUACCACUCUCCAUAGCAACUGUAUAUCUACUAUACACAGCUGAUGCAAUUAACAGGAAUCAACAAAGAAACAUCAUUACAUUAGCACAAGCAGUAAUCAGAAAUUAAAAUUCAGUGAAGCCAGGUUUAAGCUGAUACAUCAGAAUAGACAGUUUUAAAUUCUGCAUAACAUAUGAAUCUAGCAACUGGAAAAUGCUAGCUCAGUGUACAGCAGCAGCCAAUUAAGCUAAUUAAAUGUUAGAAACUAGUGGAAAAGCAGUAACGAAAAGCUUUAUUUCCAAUUUCAUAAACUCAUUUUUUUCUGAUGUCCUGGAAAACAAGUAGAUGUUCUCAUGUCCUAGAAAACAAGGAUAUUCCUCAUCACCUAUUGCUGAGGAAUAUGACAGAUAUGCAUAGGGACCAAUGGAAGGAAACAAAAAUAUCGCGUGUACAGAGUUUUCCUUAC
ensembl:lncRNA